UUGAGGAGGGUGACGGGCGGUGUGUGCAUAUUCUGGGUCUUGUUUCACAUUUAUUUGUCUUUAUUUUGUUACUGUUGAAUCCUUUUUCUAUCAAGUUUUGCAUUUUAAUUUUCUCGAGUUUGAAAGUAAAGUAGCUCAUUAGCCUCCGAUUUAUAAGUUGCACCUUGAUCUGACGUUUUGGGAUUCUUCCGUUAAGUCUACGUUCUUAGAGGUAGGCUGGCGACGAUGGUAUACAGACUGUUUAAAUUCUAAAAUCGGUGAGGUUGCUCGUGGGUUAUCGAUUAGGUAACAAGCUCCUCCAAAAAGGUUUAGAAAACCGCCAAGUUCUUUAAGUUUCGAUAGUUAAAAUUGUAUUACUCUGGUGUUGUUAAAAAGGAGGUUUGUUUUAGGUUAUAGUGGGGUAUCUAAUCCCAGA
rnacentral:rRNA from 1 species